GCCAAGCUUUGCUUGGUACUCGAGUGGCGAACGGGUGAGUAACACGUGGGUGAUCUGCCCUGCACUUUGGGAUAAGCCUGGGAAACUGGGUCUAAUACCGGAUAGGACCACGGGAUGCAUGUUUUGUGGUGGAAAGCUUUUGCGGUGUGGGAUGGGCUCGCGGCCUAUCAGCUUGUUGGUGGGGUAAUGGCCUACCAAGGCGACGACGGGUAGCCGACCUGAGAGGGUGAUCGGCCACACUGGGACUGAGACACGGCCCAGACUCCUACGGGAGGCAGCAGUGGGGAAUAUUGCACAAUGGGCGCAAGCCUGAUGCAGCGACGCCGCGUGAGGGAUGACGGCCUUCGGGUUGUAAACCUCUUUCGCUAGGGACGAAGCAUUUUUGUGACGGUACCUGGAGAAGAAGCACCGGCCAACUACGUGCCAGCAGCCGCGGUAAUACGUAGGGUGCGAGCGUUGUCCGGAAUUACUGGGCGUAAAGAGCUCGUAGGCGGUUUGUCGCGUCGUCUGUGAAAUUCUGCAGCUUAACUGUAGGCGUGCAGGCGAUACGGGCAGACUUGAGUACUACAGGGGAGACUGGAAUUCCUGGUGUAGCGGUGAAAUGCGCAGAUAUCAGGAGGAACACCGGUGGCGAAGGCGGGUCUCUGGGUAGUAACUGACGCUGAGGAGCGAAAGCGUGGGGAGCGAACAGGAUUAGAUACCCUGGUAGUCCACGCCGUAAACGGUGGGUACUAGGUGUGGGGCUCAUUUCACGAGUUCCGUGCCGUAGCU
rnacentral:rRNA from 1 species